CAGUCGCCGCGGGAACACGAAGGGUGCAAGCGUUACUCGGAAUUACUGGGCGUAAAGCGUGCGUAGGUGGUGGUUUAAGUCCGUUGUGAAAGCCCUGGGCUCAACCUGGGAAUUGCAGUGGAUACUGGGUCACUAGAGUGUGGUAGAGGAUAGUGGAAUUUCCGGUGUAGCAGUGAAAUGCGUAGAGAUCGGAAGGAACAUCUGUGGCGAAGGCGACUAUCUGGGCCAACACUGACACUGAGGCACGAAAGCGUGGGGAGCAAACAGGAUUAGAUACCCCUGUAGUCCCUGUCUCUUAUAC
rnacentral:rRNA from 1 species